CCGGCACGGGUGAGUAACACGUAUCCAACCUGCCGUCUACUCUUGGACAGCCUUCUGAAAGGAAAGAUUAAAUACAAGAUGGCAUCAUGAGUUCACAUGUUCACAUGAUUAAAGGUAUUCCGGUAGACGAUGGGGAUGCGUUCCAUUAGAUAGUAGGCGGGGUAACGGCCCACCUAGUCUUCGAUGGAUAGGGGUUCUGAGAGGAAGGUCCCCCACAUUGGAACUGAGACACGGUCCAA
rnacentral:rRNA from 1 species